ensembl:lncRNA
CGGCCAACUCAGUGCAGUGCAGUCCGGGGUAAACUGCAGCAUGUAGGAGAAAGUGAUUGUGGCCGUCUGCGACUCCCGGAGCUCUUUAUAUAAUAUAAUAUAAUUGUAUAAUAAUAUCACGGCCAAAAGCUCUGUGCUCCUCCGGAUGGCCGUAGCUUGUGAGCUCUUGUAGGGAUUGGGCUUAUCGGGGUUUGUUUACCGGCGUAUGAAUAGACUGCGUCGGGUUCUCCGACGUCUCUCCCUCUUCCACAAAAGAGCACCUGGCGAGUUUCCGAUGCCUCGGCGCGGAACCCGCGGCGGCUGCCGUGUCUACCCCCGUCCCUGCGCCGCCGGCCGCGCGGUGCCUGAAGAGGGGCUCCUCUCCCGGCCCCUUUCACUUUCCCCGUCGGCGGUGCUCUCCGAGGCCAUCAACGAUCCGGACGACGACGGCGAGGAAAAAACCGAGGUGGACGACGACCUCUCGACGGAGGACGUCUUUGCGGACUCCGUGGCGGGGUUCUCCUGCUCCAGGGCUUCGACCGCCGCGGUCGUCCCGAGAGAGAAGCCACGCCGGAUAGACGAUUUGUUCGUUGAGAUCAUGUCGGAUGACAUGCAGGGCGGGUGCUUUCCCACCCAGUCUUCCUCCCGGCGUGCCACCCAGUGUCCCCUGUUUCCACCCGUCCAGCAUUUCUUCACUGCUGCGGGUGGGCACCCCUCGACACAGAAGUGAAGGCCUUCUCCGACUUCACAGAAAUGGAGGGGUGGGCCGAUACUCAGGCGCCUGGAGCCCCCCAGCUUCUCUGUCCGGGCGCCGGAUGGCGUCCUAACGAGAAGCCGCUGCCCCCCGACCGCCUCCAGAAGCAGAUUGUCGGCCUGACGGACAGGGUGUUCGUCUGAGCCUCCCAAUCUGCGGCGGUGGUCAUUAGCCCCGCCCUGCAGUCCUCUGCCCCGCGGCACAGCGGGGGGGGGGGGGGGCAGCACAGCGGAGCCAGAAGCACCGUAAACUGGCUGACAGUUUUUCUUUCCUGUAAAAUAAAGAUAAAAAAGACUUUGGUCGAACGCUAGUACGUACUACCAGAGACGCGAC